rnacentral:rRNA from 1 species
AUUGAACGCUAGCGGGAGGCUUAACACAUGCAAGUCGAACGAGUGGCGGACGGGUGAGUAAUAUAUCGGAACGUGCCCAGUAGAGGGGGAUAACUACUCGAAAGAGUGGCUAAUACCGCAUACUAUUGGAGCGGCCGAUAUGGGAUUAGCUAGUUGGUGGGGUAAAGGCUCACCUAGGCUACGAUCCCUAGCUGGUCUGAGAGGAUGACCAGCCACACGGGAACUGAGCCACUGUCCAGACGCCUACGGGAGGCAGAAUGGGGGAAUAUUGCACAAGGGGCGCAAGCCUGAGGCAGCCAUGCCGCGUGUAUGAAGAAGGCCUUCGGGUUGUAAAGGACUUUCAGCGGGGAGGCGUUACCCGCAGAAGAAGCACCGGCUAACUCCGUGCCAGCAGCCGCGGUAAUAC